CCUACGGGAGGCAGCAGUGAGGAAUAUUGGUCAAUGGGCGAGAGCCUGAACCAGCCAAGCCGCGUGAGGGAAGACGGUCCUCUGGAUUGUAAACCUCUUUUGCCGGGGAGCAAAAAGUGGUAUGUGUACCGCAUCGAGUGUACCUGGAGAAAAAGCAUCGGCUAACUCCGCGCCAGCAGCCGCGGUAAUACGGGGGAUGCGAGCGUUAUCCGGAUUUAUUGGGUUAAAAGGGGGCGCGGGGGGGGGGUUAAGUUAGCGGUAAAAUUUCGGGGCUCAACCCCGACAAGCCGUUGAUACUGGCAUGCUAGAGUGGGCGAGAAGUAUGUGGAAUGCGUGGUGUAGCGGUGAAAUGCAUAGAUAUCGCGCAGAACUCCGAUUGCGAAGGCAGCAUACCGGCGCCAGACUGACGCUCAGGCGCGAAAGCGUGGGUAUCGAACAGGAUUAGAUACCCUAGUAGUC
rnacentral:rRNA from 1 species